UACUUUAUGCAGAGAUAAUAUCGUAGCUAAUAAAGGUAUAGUGAGGUGCGAUUAUUGCUAGUCGAAAACUUUUAAAAUUCACAAUUCAUUCCUGGUCUACACCUUAGAUUUUAUUUAAUGUUUAAUGUGACUAUAGUAA
rfam:Rhodnius prolixus Rhodnius_prolixus-3.0.3-41.12, whole genome shotgun sequence.